rnacentral:ncRNA from 1 species
UCAAUUGUAAUGAUGGAGAGGAUAAUGAGGAAAGCGGCAAAGAGAGCCGGGUAAGGUGCAAUCCGGUCCGCCUAUUCAUUAGAUGCUCGCUCCUGAACAGCUCGGGCGAAACAGCAGUAGUCCGAUGCCGCAGUAUUGCGUUAAAAUGAAGUAGUUUUCUACUUCAUAAGGCUUAUACCGCAAGGUAUGGCAAAACAGGGUGGUACCACGGGAAAAGACCCCUCGUCCCUGAG